UGGGGCGUGGCCAAGUGGUAAGGCUCGGGUUUUGUCCCGCUAUUCGGAGGUUCGAAUCCUUCCGUCCCAG
rnacentral:tRNA from 1 species